rnacentral:rRNA from 1 species
UGAGUAACCUGCCUUUCAGAGGGGGAGUAACGUUCUGAAAAGAAACGCUAAUACCGCAUGAGACUACAGAGCUGCAUGGCUCAGUGGUCAAAGGAGCAAUCCGCUGAAAGAUGGACUCGCGUCCGAUUAGAUAGUAGGCGGGGUAACGGCCCACCUAGUCGACGAUCGGUAGCCGGACUGAGAGGUUGAACGGCCACAUUGGGACUGAGACACGGCCCAGACUCCUACGGGAGGCAGCAUG